AGAGAGGUGAUUCACAAUAA
rnacentral:tRNA from 1 species